rnacentral:rRNA from 1 species
UACGUCGGGCGCAAGCGUUGUCCGGAAUUAUUGGGCGUAAAGAGCUCGUAGGCGGUUUGUCGCGUCUGCUGUGAAAACCUAAGGCUCAACCUUGGGCUUGCAGUGGGUACGGGCAGACUAGAGUGCGGUAGGGGUGACUGGAAUUCCUGGUGUAGCGGUGGAAUGCGCAGAUAUCAGGAGGAACACCGAUGGCGAAGGCAGGUCACUGGGCCGCAACUGACGCUGAGGAGCGAAAGCAUGGGGAGCGAACAGG